AACGCGAAGAACCUUACCAAGGUUUGACAUGCAGGGAAAAGCCGUAGAGAUACGGUGUCCGUAAGGGUCCUGCACAGGUGGUGCAUGGCUGUCGUCAGCUCGUGUCGUGAGAUGUUGGGUUAAGUCCCGCAACGAGCGCAACCCUCGUCCUAUGUUGCCAGCGGAUAAUGCCGGGGACUCAUAGGAGACUGCCGGGGUCAACUCGGAGGAAGGUGGGGAUGACGUCAAGUCCUCAUGCCCCUUAUGUCUUGGGCUGCAAACAUGCUACAAUGGCCAGUACAAAGGGUUGCGAGACCGCAAGGUGGAGCGAAUCCCAAAAAGCUGGUCUCAGUUCGGAUUGGGGUCUGCAACUCGACCCCAUGAAGUCGGAGUCGCUAGUAAUCGCAGAUCAGCAACGCUGCGGUGAAUACGUUCCCGGGCCUUGUACACACCGUAGUAC
rnacentral:rRNA from 1 species